AUGUGAUAUUAACUAGCCUACGUAAUACAUAAUCAAUCUAUUUUUAGCGAGAAUAAAAAUUAUUGCAACAUUUCUUAAGAAAGUUGGCUUAACCUAAAAGGGGUCUAGGCAGAAGCAAGGUAGUUAAAGAAUAAGAGACUCUAGAUGGUUCUUAGUUAUUCAUUUUGCUGGGUCCGUGCCUGGGAUCCAAACCUGCGAACCCUGAUCCGCCAAAGCAGAGCGUGUGAACUUAACCACUACAUCACUGGGCCGGUGCCCCCAUUAUUUCUAUACUUUUGUUAGCUUUCAAAAGGUAACUGAUAAUCCCCCUUGAUCCCUGUAUAGACUAUUGAGAGACUGAAUAGAGCAUAUUAUCUAAGGGCUUAAUCCACUUUUCAUAAAAUAAACUAUUAAAAUAGACCAACAAGUGUUAUUUCAAACACAAAUCAGCUUUGUAUUUAAGAUAAAAUACCAUUUGGAGCAAGGCUUCAUAAAAUUAUAGAGCUGGGAAGUCAUUGAGGUGUUACCAUGUCUGGUUCGGCUCAAUCCCUUUACAAACCUGCCCCAGCGAUGGUCUCCCCAGGCCUGUGCGUGUAAGGAGCAGUCUUGUGGCAGCUCCACCUCCCAGGAGUGAGUUCCACAGCUACGUGUGUCCCCCACUCAUACAUCUCUGCCUUUCCUUCUCCAAGUCAAUACGUUUUACUUGUUUUCUGGCUCAUUUUCCUAGAGCUUUAGCUUUAUGGAUUGACUCUCUACCUUUCGAUAACUUCCAGUCUGGGGCCUCCUUUUCUGGUUUCUGAGCUAAUUACUUAUCCCUGGAGUUAAUUAUUUUCUUCACGAUGUGCAAGAAAACUGCAGCCCCUGACUGCUGUCUGCCUGGACCUGCCUGCCUCUCACAGCCAGACUGGGGGUUCUAUUGGACAUAAUUUCACAGAGCAUCAGUAUCAGACAGUGCCACUCUCUGAUCAUGAGUGGAGCCAGACAAAAACGAAACCACUCCAUAAACAUGUGUGCACAAAACCAAGAGCUCCGUCCAAACCAAAAUGGCCAAACGUUCCCCUUUCUGGGCUACCACGAGUGACUGUGCUUGACCAAUUCUAGCUUUGGCCUCACGCCAUUUCUCCUGUCUACUAGAAAGAAAUUGUUAAGAUAUUCAGUGAUAGAAUUGUUCCGGCUUUCUAUUUCUUUCUUUCUUUAUUUUAUUGAGGUCACGUUGGUUUAUAAUGUUAUGUAUAUUUCAGGUGUACAUCAUUAUAUUUUGACUUCUGUAUAGACUGCCUCACGUUCAUCACCGAUAGUCUAGUUUCCAUCCAUCACCACACACAUAUCCCUCUUUGCCCCUUUUGCCCUGCCCCCACUGCCUUCCCCUCUGGUAACUACCAAUCUAUUCUCUGUAGCUAUGUGUUUCUUUGUUUAUUUAUCUUCCACAGAUGAGAGAAGUCAUUUGGUAUUUGUGUUUCUCUGUCUGACUUUUUUUGCUUAGCAUAAUACCCUCAAGGUCCAACCAUGUUGUUGCAAAUGGCACAACUUCAUCUUUUUCAUGGCUGAGUAGUAUUCCAUUUCUGAUAGCACCCAAUUCAAAACAAAACCACACUUCCUUCAGCCUUCCUUAAAAUUACUGAUGAGCUCAAAUCUUAUCCAAGCUCACCUGAAAGCCCCCUCGCUGAGAUUCCUGUCCCGUGGUUCUCCAUAAUGGGGUGUCUCUCUCAUUGCAGUGAGCCAAUAAACCCAAGCCUGUUGAGAAUAGGUGUAUUUCCAGUGGUUUUUGGCCAGAAGGCAUAGGCCACGGAGAUUGCACAUCUGUGAAAUAUUCACUCAAUGACAACACACUUCUUAACGUGGUCUAUAAGCUCCCAAAUAUCGAGUAGCAGCAUUCUAGGCAGUCCCAGCAUGGUGGUUCUGUCCUCUGUGCAGACCUGAGCAAUCUAACUGAUUUCUUCCAUUUUCAGAUUAAAACACAACCACAGAAACAACACAACAACAGCAAGCAAAGUUGUGAUUUUUCCCCUCUCGGGCCGUCGGGUAGUUAGUGGCAGAGCCACGAUCAGCACCCAAUCUUCUCAUGCCUGGUGUAGUGCCUUUGCUGCCCUACCAUGCUGACUAUUUAAAGAAGUACAACUUCGAGGUCUAAUGUACUAUUGAGCACUAAAGCACUAAAUUCAAUUU
ensembl:lncRNA